rnacentral:rRNA from 1 species
AGCAGCCGCGGUAAUUCCAGCUCCAAUAGCGUAUAUUAAAGUUGUUGCAGUUAAAAAGCUCGUAGUUGAAUUUCGGGGUUAGUAGGUUGGUCAUGCCUCUGGUAUGUACUGGUCUCACUGAUUCCUCCUUCCUGAUGAGCCGUAAUGCCAUUAAUUUGGUGUUGCGGGGAAUUUGGACUGUUACUUUGAAAAAAUUAGAGUGUUUAAAGCAGGCUCACGCUUGAAUACAUUAGCAUGGAAUAAUGAAAUAGGACGUUUGAUUCUAUUUUGUUGGUUUCUAGGAUCGACGUAAUGAUUAAUAGGGAUAGUUGGGGGCAUUAGUAUUCAAUUGUCAGAGGUGAAAUUCUUGGAUUUAUUGAAGACUAACUACUGCGAAAGCAUUUGCCAAGGAUGGUUUCAUUAAUCAAGAACGAAAGUUAGGGGAUCGAAGACGAUCAGAUACCGUCGUAGUCUUAACCAUAAACUAUGCCGACUAGGGAUCGGAUGGUGUUAAUUUUUAAUGACUCAUUCGGCGCCUUAA